CCCCAAGAUACAAUCUUCGCUUCCUCAAUCGUGAAACGAUGACUCAUCUGUUUAGCACAGCUGCCUCACCACUCUCCCCUUCCCACAGUCCAAAGUGCCUUCCAGAGAGAGCACACCAAGUUAUUUGGCAACUUCCAAAGACAGGCUUUCUUUCAGGGGUCAGAGCCCAAGGGGUUUUCCUGAGGAAAGACCGGAGCAGGAAGCCGGCAACACUGGAAAGCGUCCUGAACACCUGGUCAGGAGCCAGCCUGCAGGAGGAACCGACCGAGUCACCUGGCUUGGGACCUUGGGAAAGUCCAUCAGCUGGUCUGCCCCUCUGUUGCCACAUCUAUAAAAUUACGAGGUGGUUGGGGCCAGUUCAAGCCUGGGAAUUUGGUUGUGCGCCAGUCCCUCCCUCCUUCCUCAGCUCGCUCAGACGCAAGGACCCCUGAACUGCAAGAGGAAGACCCAGUUUUGGCCGUAUCAUAAACCAGCACCCCAGCAGGUGGGAAGAUCCAUAUGCCAGUGGAUUAUGUUGUCCCAAGAAAGUGCACAGACUCUUUUGUACUUAGGGUCUAUCUUGACAAAAAAGGGCGUCUUUUUCACUUUUGCAGAACAAAUGGAAUAGUUGUGAUGGUUAAUUUUACGUGUCCGCUGGGUGGGAUCCCAGGGUUCAGACAGUUGGUCGAACAUUAUUCUGGAUGCUUCUGUGAGCGUGAUUUUGGAUGAGAUUUACAUUUAAACUGGUGGUCUUCGAGUAAAGCAAAUUGCCCUGCAUCCUGGAGGUGGGCCUCCAGUGAGGGGCGGGGUCCCUCCACCCAAAAUGCAUGACCGCAGUACCACAGGGGGGGCUGGGAGGCAUGGUGCAAGAGACAGCCAAGAUGUUCUGGGCUCACCCUUGCACUCUGCUAUGCUGGGUCACAGAGAGCUGGAGGCACGGUCAAUUAAAUCACCAACUGAACUUUGAAACACUAAGCGUGAUUGUGUAAGUCAGGAUUGUCCAGGGAAGCAGAACCAAUAGGGUGUGUGUGAGUGUGUGUCUGUGUGUGUAGAGGGGGGAUUUAUUUUAAGGAAUCGGCUCACGUGAUCUUGGAGCCUGGCAAGUCUAAAAUACAGGAGGCUGGAGGCCCAGAGAAGAGCCUCCAGAUCUGAGAGUUCACAGGGGAGGGCUGUCCGCUGGCAGAAUUCCUCCUUGUGGGGGAGGUCAGGCAUUGCUCCUGUAAGACUUCCACUGAGGGAAUCAGGUCCUCUCUAAUGGCCGGCCCUGCUGCCCGUCACAGGCCCCUGCCAGGCUCCUCGCUUCUGGUGACUUUCUCUCAGGCAUGUUGCUCCCUCUUGCAGCCCUCCUGAUGGCUGCGUGCUCCUGAGUCCCGAACGCAGGCAGGGUUCCAGGCCAUCUCAAGGGGUUCUCAGUCCUUUCGCAAUCAGAGGCCGUGGCUCAGCCCCUGUCUGAAGCUCUUGAACGUUUUGUGAUAGUGAGUGUGUCCCCAGCAUUCAGUGACCCUCCUAGGCUUGCUUGUUCCUCGAGAUCUGAGGGGUUGUGUCAGGUGUGGUCUCACCUAACACCACCAGCCAGAGUCACAGCGUCAGCCCCACCAGAUAGGAAGUUGACAUCAGGAAUGUCAAAGUGGAGUGGGCUUGCAUAUGGAGUGUGCUGGGAGGAGAGAAGACGAGCCUGUGACCAGGUGAUGCUGAGAAAAGAGAAACGCUGGCCAUGAUUUCUCAAGCACUCUCUCUGUGCCGGGCACUGACCACACUCUUCCAUGCAGUCCCCGGAUCCUCACAUCCACCCUGUUGAGGCGAGUGUGACUGCGAUCCCCACUUCACAGAUGAGGAAAGUGAGGUACACAGAGGUACAGCCCACGGUUACCAAGCUGUGAAAUGAGGGGCUGGGAUCUGAGCCCAGGCGGGCUGCGUUGCCACCCUCUUCAUUAAUUCCUGGCACAUUCUCUGGCACAGGGACUGGAUAUGUACAUCCUCAGGAAAGGACAUCCUCUCUCUCUGGGACUCUGCUGGGGACACUGAACAAUUUUCCCUCCCUGAAUUCCACGUUUUUUCUGUUUCCAUUUGAUUAUAACCAUCUUCUUCUUUUAAUGCAGUUUUUAAAAAAAUAUGCUAAUAUCUCCACUGAGGUUAUGAUUCAAUUUUUCCUCCUUCUUUUGGCCCAAGGGAUAGUGUUGGCUUUAUUGUAUCUUGAUUUUAACAAGCAAGCUCCUUCAUAGAUACAAAGAACAGAUUGGCAGUUGCCAAAGGCAAGACAUGGGGGGCUGGUGAGAUGGGUGAGGGGGUCAAAAGGUACAAACUUCCGUUGUAAAAUAAAUAAGUCCCAGGGAUGUACUGUAAUGUGGUGACUAUAGUUAAUCACAUGGUGUUGCAUAUUUGAAAGUUGCUAAGGGGGUAGAUCUUAAAAGUUCUUAUCACAGGAAAAAAAUGUUUUAACUAUGUGUGGUAACCAUGUUAACUAGACUUGUGGUGGUGCCCAUUUCACAAUGUAUACAAAUACUGAAUCAUUACGUUGUAUACCUGAAACUAAUAUAAUGUUACAUGUCUAUUACACCUCAAUAAACAAAAAAAAGCAAGCUCUUACAUGGUUUCCCACCAGACUGCUGAUGUACUUAAACCGGACACAAAUGACUGAGGAAUGGGGCGCUGUGGAGGCGCAGGGUUGGUGGGUCUGCGAGUGCAGAAGUUUGAAAAGACAAAACGGGAAAUGCAAGCUGACGACGCUUACAGGAGCCCAAGGUGAGAGCAGAAACCGGUUUCAAGAUUUAGUCCAAAGGUCCCCUCCUCUCUAAGGAACUUCCGGAUUCCUCACCAGCCUGGAGGAGAACUGACCACUCCCUGCUGUGUCCGCACCAGAGUGGCACCAGCUUCUCUUACAAGACAAAUAAAGCUACGAGGCUAUUUUUAGUGCAACUGUCUCUCUCUCUCUCUCAUAGAAUAAGUUCCUUCAGAGAAGGAAUUAUAACUUAUUCUUCCUUAAAUCACUGGGUGUGGGGGAAGUAUCUUGCAGAUAACACACAGCUCACGUACAUCUACUCACCUGUCCGCAUGUUCACGUCACGUCCUUUGGGCUUCCCAAUGAUCCUGUGUGGUGUGCCUUAUUCUGUCUCCACUUCACAGGCAAUGAAAGUGAGGCUCAGAGAAGUCAAGUAACUUGCCCAAGAUCACAGGCUCGUCAAGGGUGGUGGACGCAUUGGACCCAGGUGGUCCAGCUUGAGAGGCCGUCACUGUACCCAACUGUCCCUCGUGUAAUGUCUGAGGACAGACUGACCAAAGAAAAGACGGUGUUGCUUGCUCCUAACCAGCAGCUAAGAUUCUGUGACAAGAUUAACACACUUUUCUACGUGAUAAAUUGCCAUGUAGAUAAAAUUGUUUUCUACAUAAUUUGGAAUAGUGUCUUGGUCUGUUUAGACUGCUAUAACAGAAUACCAGAGAGUGGGCGGCUUAUAAACAACAGAAAUUUGUUUCUCACAGUUCUGGAGGCUGGAAGUCCAAUAUCAAGGCGCCAGCAGAUUUGGUGUCUGGCGAGGGCCGGCUGCUUGGUUGCAGACUAGCAUCUUCUUGUGUGUCCU
rnacentral:lncRNA from 1 species